rnacentral:rRNA from 1 species
GACGAACGCUGGCGGCGUGCCUAAUACAUGCAAGUCGAGCGCUGAAGCGAGGAGCUUGCUCUUCUUGGAUGAGUUGCGAACGGGUGAGUAACGCGUAGGUAACCUGCCUGGUAGCGGGGGAUAACUAUUGGAAACGAUAGCUAAUACCGCAUAAUAUUGAUUAUUGCAUGAUAAUUAAUUGAAAGAUGCAACUGCAUCACUACCAGAUGGAACUGCGUUGUAUUAGCUAGGUGGUGAGGUAACGGCUCACCCAAGCGACGAUACAUAGCCGACCUGAGAGGGUGAUCCGCCACACUGGGACUUAGGCACGGCCCCGACUCCUACGGGAAGGAGCAGGAGGGGAACCUCGGCAAUGGGGGGAACGCUUGACGGGCAACGCCGCGGGGGUGAAGAAGGGUUUCGGAUCGGAAAGCUCUGUUGAAAAGGAAGAACGGAUGUGAUAGUUGAAUGUGCACACUUUGACGGUAUCUUAUCAGAAAGGGACGGCUAACUACGUG